rnacentral:hammerhead_ribozyme from 1 species
GUCCAGCUGAUGAGUCCCUAAUAGGACGAAACAUGUGUCUUGGAU